rnacentral:rRNA from 1 species
GAUGAACGCUGACAGAAUGCUUAACACAUGCAAGUCAACUGUGGCGGACGGUUGAGUAACGCGUAAAGAACUUGCCUCACGGAUAAGGACAACAUUUGGAAACGAAUGCUAAUACCUGAUACUGUGAGAGAGCUUUGCGUCCCAUUGGCUAGUUGGAGAGGUAACGGCCCACCAAGGCGAUGAUGGGUAGCCGGACUGAGAGGGUGAUCGGCCACAAGUGGACUGGGACACGGCCCUUACGCCUAUGUGAGGCAGCAGUGGGGAAUAUUGGACAAUGGACCAAAGGCUGAGCCAGCAAUUCGGUGUGAACGAUGAAUGUUUCGGAAUGUAAAGUGCUUUCAGUUGGGAAGCGGUACCAACAGAAGAAGUGACGGCUAAAUACGUGCCAGCCGCGCGGUAAUAC